rnacentral:rRNA from 1 species
AAAACUUUCAACAACGGAUCUCUUGGCUCUCGCAUCGAUGAAGAACGCAGCGAAAUGCGAUAAGUAAUGUGAAUUGCAGAAUUCAGUGAAUCAUCGAAUCUUUGAACGCACCUUGCGCCUUUUGGUAUUCCGAAAGGCAUGCCUGUUUGAGUGUCAU